rnacentral:lncRNA from 1 species
ACAAAUAAUUAAACAACAUCUUUGGAGUUUGCUGUGACUUCUGUACAUCUAACAAGCUGUACUUUCACAGAAGCUUUCUGGAGGUUGCACAGUUAUUAAAACCAGUUAGGGGCCUUAUCUUUUGGGAAACAAAAACUUACAUUCCUUAGAGCCAAGGAGAUGCCCCGACUAAGAACACAUCUGCGGCACUAAUUUCAUCAGCGUUUCUGUCUUCAGGAAUUCAAGGUCUAAUUUUGCUUAUCUAACAACAGUCCAGUUGGGGGAAAUGAAAGGGUCCAUUGAUCACUCUGUUGGGUGAGAGAACAGGAUGACCCAUGCUGAAGGAUGUCACACUAUCACACUGAGUUUGCAGGCAGCGAGAGACCACUGAGGUCACUCCCGUCUCGGGAUGGCAUCUUGGCAGAUGAGCUGAUGGAUUAAAAAGCUGAGAUAUUUGGGGAAGAAAGAUAUUCACUCUCAAAAAUGUUGUUUCUGAGGAUCCUGUUUUCUAGAGAAAAUGUUACAAACUCAAAUUGUUGCAGGGACCAAACAGGUAACAUCAGUGUGGAUAAAGUGGGCCAGAAAUAACAAAAGGGAGUGAAGGGUCAGAGUGAACCAUCAGAGAGGACCAGGCCUUCCUUGAAAAGAUGUGGGGGAUGGGAUGCUGCAAUUCAAUUCAAGCAGAAUGUGUCUUUGUGUUAUUAGCUAUUACCAUUUAUAUUCAAAGAAAGACAUAUAUACAUUUUAUGUGA